CUCCCACGGCACCAGCUCCACCUGGAUACCUCCCGCCCCACCCUCACUCCCUGGAAACAGUAAUGUUUUUCUCCUAAAGCUACCCGUAAGUGUUACAGCUCCGAAAGGCGUCCCCAGUGGAAGUGUUGUGGCUCCAAGGGAAAAGGUAUCCCAGCAGGCGGGAGCCAACAAAUGCCGCAAGGUCGUACCACAGAACAAACCUCAUCCAAGGAUUUAUUAGAAUCCCAUCACCUCCCAUUCUGUGGGACCUGGAGUUAACAAUGACGCCUAUGGCAUCACCGUGAAGAUGAAAUGUUGACGUAUUUUCAGUUCCUUCUUCAGCUUAUUUGGCUCUUAGAAUUGAUGUGUACAACUUUCUCAUUAACGGGGGAAACAGACAUAAAAACAAGAAAUUCAAAUGAAUCCUUAGCUAAGGAUGGUGUAUGUAGUUUUACCAGCUCUUUGGUUCAGAACCUUUCAUCAAUUGAAUAAUAAAUGAAUGCAUCAUUUAUAAGACCGGUAAUCUGUGACCUAUAUCCGGGAAAACUUCAAAUAGAGUAUUUAGGGUGGUUUUCCAGGAAAGCAGUAUGAUGAACAGUUUCUCUGAAGAUCUAGGCAAAGAGGGCGGCUGGACCAGACUCUCAGGGGUCAGACAUGGAGACGACCCGGGACACUCAGCAUAUUACGCAGGUCCUCAUUGUUAGACCCUUCCUGUCCAUCACUUUAAAUCCUUGGGUUUUGGCUACUUCCCUAAUGCAGCCCAUUCUUCCAACAGCAAGGAUGGAAUAACCCAAAGGCAAACACAGAUACAAUGAUGGACAUCCUGGCGGCAGCCAGGCCGGGUUAGGCUCAGUCAAGCCAUUUAAGUCUCGGUGAAGAUUUAUUUUAAUGCUCAAUAACAUAUUCACCAAGUGAACAGGAAGCAGGCAAGUUCAUCUUGAGUUCAGCUUUCGCCCCACCUCUUCUCUCUGCCUUUCAGUUUGAGACAGGCUGCAAGACUUCAACUGAAUUUCACAUUGUGCCAACUCGCCCCAAAACAUGGAAGCCAAGUCAGGGUUCCUCUGCGUCUAAUGCCAGGAGCUCUAAUCACAGCAAAUCCUGUCCCUGGGGUCUGUAAUCUCACUGGCUUCUUUCACUGCCUUUCCCAGAUGGCAGGGAGGUGGAGAGCACAGGACCCACAGGCUGGGUAUGCUCAUCCCGCUCUCAGUGACAAAAAGUCCUAAGGGACAGUGUGACACCAAAAGCAGAUGGGAGUCAGAGUUUUA